rnacentral:rRNA from 1 species
UUCCGGUUGAUCCUGCCAGAGGUUACUGCUAUCGGUGUUCGCCUAAGCCAUGCGAGUCAAAUGUAGCAAUACAUGGCGUACUGCUCAGUAACACGUGGAUAACCUGCCCUUGGGUCCGGCAUAACCCCGGGAAACUGGGGAUAAUUCCGGAUAACGCACAUAUGCUGGAAUGCUUUUUGCGUAAAAUGGAUUCGUCUGCCCAAGGAUGGGUCUGCGGCCUAUCAGGUAGUAGUGGGUGUAAUGUACCUACUAGCCUAC